CUUUUGCAUCUCUGGGCAGCGCGUGCUUAAGUAAGCUGCUGACUCGGUGGGGAAGCUGCCAGGGAGGGGGGCGAAAGUGAUUCCGGAGGCUGCCGUCUUUAUUAGUCGCUGCUUAGGGGAUGGGGUGGUGCUCCGUGGGCCUGCGCCCGCCUCGCCUCCAGUUUCGGCCUCCGCGUCCUGCUCACCCCUCAUCCUCCUACUCUCUGGUUCCAGUGCCUGAGAAUUUAUUGAGGGAAACUGCCCGUGGUGUCUAAAUCCCUAAUUUUAAAAGGCUGGUUGUGCAAGGAGGUUAGUCUCUCCGGCAUCUCCUUCGGUAACUCUUAUUUACCUUGUAGCCUCUUUUUAGUUCAUCUUAAAUAACUGGGAUGGAGGUGCUACGGAAGGAUCUUAGAGACCCUUUUUGUGCAGAAGGAGAAGGCUGUUUGCCGACCUACCUUGAACUAAGAAGGACUGGCCAUAGAUAACUUUUACAUUCCCGACAGAGGCAAAUAGGUUGGCCGACCAAACACAGCUAAUGUUUUGAAAGCAUUUGAUAUUCUUGCUAUCCUGUCUCCAAUGUUGGGGUCCCUGGGAAGGUCUCAGGAGGGAGAAAUGUUGAAAAUCAGAAAAGGCAUCCCCUCCAUGCCCCACAAAAGAGGUGAACAAAGAGCUGGGUUCCGUUUCUUAGGACAUUCAAAACCAGACAUUUAUUUUGUACAAAACCUCUGGGUGUGUGCCCUUAGAACAAGGAUGUCCAGGCCAGGCGCGGUGGCUCAUGCCCGUAAUCCCAGCACUUUGGGAGGAUGAGGCAGGAGAAUCGCUUGAACCUGGGAAGCAGAGGUUGCGGUGAGCUGAGAUCGCGGCAUUGCACUCCAGCCUGGACAACAAGAGUGAAACUCCGUC
rnacentral:lncRNA from 1 species